rnacentral:rRNA from 1 species
UACGAAGGGUGCAAGCGUUACUCGGAAUUACUGGGCGUAAAGCGUGCGUAGGCGGUCUGUUAAGUCCGUUGUGAAAGCCCUGGGCUCAACCUGGGAAUUGCAGUGGAUACUGGCGGGCUAGAGUGCGGUAGAGGAUGGUGGAAUUCCCGGUGUAGCGGUGAAAUGCGUAGAGAUCGGGAGGAACACCCGUGGCGAAGGCGGCCAUCUGGACCAGCACUGACGCUGAGGCACGAAGGUCAGGGGAGCAAACGGG